rnacentral:rRNA from 1 species
CCUACGGGUGACAGCAGUGAGGAAUAUUGGUCAAUGGACGAGAGUCUGAACCAGCCAAGUAGCGUGAAGGAUGACUGCCCUAUGGGUUGUAAACUUCUUUUAUAUGGGAAUAAAAUGUUCCACGUGUGGGCUUUUGUAUGUACCAUAUGAAUAAGGAUCGGCUAACUCCGUGCCAGCAGCCGCGGUAAUACGGAGGAUCCGAGCGUUAUCCGGAUUUAUUGGGUUUAAAGGGAGCGUAGGUGGAUUGUUAAGUCAGUUGUGAAAGUUUGCGGCUCAACCGUAAAAUUGCAGUUGAAACUGGCAGUCUUGAGUACAGUAGAGGCGGGCGGAAUGCGUGGUGUAGCGGUGAAAUGCUUAGAUAUCACGAAGAACUCCGAUUGCGAAGGCAGCUCACUGGACUGCAACUGACACUGAGGCUCGAAAGUGUGGGUAUCAAACAGGAUUAGAUACCCCAGUAGUC